rnacentral:tRNA from 1 species
AAUAUAUUAAUUUAAAAAAGAAAUAUAAUAAAAAAGCUUAAAAAAAAUAAAAAAAUAAAAGUAAAAAAAAUAAAAAUAAUAAAAAUAAAAAUAAUAAAAAUAAAAAUAAUAAAAAUAAAAAUAAUAAAAAUAAAAAUAAUAAAAAUAAAAAUAAUAAAAAUAAAAAUAAUAAAAAUAAAAAUAAUAAAAAUAAAAAUAAUAAAAAAUAAAUAAAUUUAUAAAAAAUUAAUUAAAAUUAUAUAUAUUA